GAUGAACGCUGGCGGCGUGCCUAAUACAUGCAAGUAGAACGCUGAAGGAGGAGCUUGCUCUUCUGGAUGAGUUGCGAACGGGUGAGUAACGCGUAGGUAACCUGCCUGGUAGCGGGGGAUAACUAUUGGAAACGAUAGCUAAUACCGCAUGACAACAGUUAUUGCAUGAUAACUGUUUAAAAGGGGCAACUGCUCCACUACCAGAUGGACCUGCGUUGUAUUAGCUAGUUGGUGAGGUAACGGCUCACCAAGGCGACGAUACAUAGCCGACCUGAGAGGGUGAUCGGCCACACUGGGACUGAGACACGGCCAAGACUCCUACGGGAGGCAGCAGUAGGGAAUCUUCGGCAAUGGACGGAAGUCUGACCGAGCAACGCCGCGUGAGUGAAGAAGGUUUUCGGAUCGUAAAGCUCUGUUGUAAGAGAAGAACGAGUGUGAGAGUGGAAAGUUCACACUGUGACGGUAUCUUACCAGAAAGGGACGGCUAACUACGUG
rnacentral:rRNA from 1 species